AUGGGCGGAACGGUGAACUCCGGCAGGAGUGGCAUCAGGUUGUCGGCGUCCGCGCUGACGUUUGAGGCAGAGGCCUCGUCUUCGUAUUCUGCGUCGACCAUCUGCUCGGCGACGAUGUCCGGCAUGGCAGCAACUUCUUCGGCUGCGAUCUCCGGCACGGCAGCGACUUGUUCGUCAACAACCACUGGUUCGGCAGCGGCCUCUUGUGGUAUGAGCGGCAUCACUUCCUUGGGCACAACCGUCCUCGUGCCUGGCUCCGGUGUUCCCUUGGAGUGGUUGCACUGCCAGGGCCGGUCCCGAGAUUUUGGGGGCCCGGGGUGGAGCAAAAACUCGGGGCCCUUUGUAUAA
rnacentral:rRNA from 1 species